UGCACAAGUAGGCAAAUACCAAAGCUUAGUUUAUUCAAAAAAGCUAGACCCUACAGACCACAAUAGGAGUAAAUUGCUAACUGCAGCAUUGAAUCAGGCAUUCGGGCUUUUAGUUUAAUCAAAGGCUUAUAAUAUAGGCUGUAGCAGUAUACAAAUUGCUAAUUGCCUAUUUUUAAAAAGAUUUUCUUCUCUUUUUCAAUGAUGAAAUACUUCAUGAAUGAAUUCUAAAUGUGCCAUGUGAUGGAGAAUACAAGGAGUGCCAUUAGUGUUUAAUUGCCUUUCUUUAGAUAAUGAAGUGUUUAGUUACCAAGGACUUCCUCUCCUUUAAUAUAAUGAUACGCAGCCCUCAAGCGUAUUCGAGAAAAAAAAAGUUACCAAGGACUUUAAAGCCAUCUUGGAAACAUCAAUUAAGAGCACAGCACCCCCUCUAUCUUCUUCUGAAGAGUGUACCUGGUCUCCUAAAUCUCUUCCGCGUUAUCCAAUUUCAUCUAUUUAUAUGCUUAUCGACACUUGGUUUUUUUCCUUAGUCUUGUGACCUAUUAUUGCUACUAGCCACAACAAUGAUCGAUUAACCGACUGGUUGGGUCAAGUUCGCACAAUGAUUUUCCUCAAAUAAAAACUAGGCGCGGUUGCUACUUCACGUUUAGGGGUUGUUUGAUCCCAGGACUGAAAUUCACUCCUAGGCCAUCGAUACAGGUAGACUAACGAGUAAACUAAUUCUUAGCCCACACCCCAAUUAAUAGGUAGUUCACUAAUAGCAAAAUAGAGCUAAAAUGGACUAAUAACUACUAGCCCGUUUAUCCAAACAGCGCUGGACUAAAAUUUAGUCACCAGCAGUUAUUUCCUACCAACCACUAAACUGACAACUAGUCCUAUACGAUCCAGAAUAUGCUCUUUGAUUAGGGCAUUUUGGGUAGCAAAUUUUCAUAAUUUCUAUCGUCUUGGUUUGUUCCUGAACUUCUCAUAAUGCUGCUAUUGUUUGUUGUUUUGUGUAUCUGUAUAUUUGAGUGGCAAUCUAGGUUUCCACCAUGCAAUCCAUAACUCAGUUGAAAUAUAUGCCAUUGAUAGUUAAUGUUCGUGCAACUAGUGAAACGGUAAUGUCAUUAGUGUUUAGGGAUUGUUUUAAUUUGGCCUUACACAUACUUAAUUUUUUAAAACAGAGAAGUCCUGAAAGGAUUAUCGAAUGGCCAGGACCGAUGCGUGAAUGACACUCUUUUGUGUGAAGAUUAUUUGCUUGUUUGAAGACGUUUUGGCAUGUAAAUGAAAGGCGUAUCUUCAAUCCUUUUAUCUGUUUUAAGUCGGAUUGCAUGUAGUAACAUCAUAAAAUAAAAUUAAUAUCUUUUAGCGCCUUAGUUGGGUGGUUAUAUAUAAAAAUCUGACAAUGAGCCUCUUAUUUUUCCUGAACAACCCUGAGCUCCUGAGUCCUGACAUAGGGUAAACCUAGCUUACUGUUUCAUGUCUCCUUUAAGGCAACUUAUACCCAUCUUAUCUGGAUAGUUAAUUAAUUAUAUGGCUUCCUGAAGGUGAUUAGUAGUAAUCAGCUCAUGCAAUGCAUAGUAACUCCUGUUUGUUGCUUACAGAUCUGGGGGACACCUGACCCAAGAAGAGCUGGAUGUGUAAAUCGCAGAGUACGGCUGGAUGUGCAAAUGUCAUGGCUGUUUGGAUUUCUUCUGACAGCUCGACAAAACCGCACAUCAUGCAAAGAGUCAGGAAAACAAAAAAAAUAAAAAAACAGGAAAACAAAAAAAAUUAAAAAACCAGGAAACAAAAAAACCACAGGAAAAAACCCAGGAAACCUGAAGGCACAAUAUUGCCCUGUAACCACCCACGAGAAGAUGUAAGAGAUGUAUUCAUAUGCUUGACUGCAAAUUCGCUUGCGGAGAUUCCUGCUGGCAGUGUUGCUGGAAGUGCUUCCUUGCGGAGACAAUCUCAGAUUCUCUACAGAUAUCCAUCACUGAAAAUCUGGGGGGCACCUGACCGAAGAAGAGCUGGAUGUGUAGAUCACAGAGUACGGCUGGAUGUGCAAAUGCCAUGGCUGUUUGGAUUUCUUCUGACAGCUCGACAAAACCUUACAUCAUGCAAAGAGUCAGGAAAACAAAAAAA